AUAAUAUGAUCUUCUUGUAUGACCUCCACUAUAUCCAUAGGUUCAUGUUUCAACUUUUAACUUAUUUCUUCAAAAUCUCUAACCUGUCUCGAGCCGUAGAUGUUACCUGUGUACUACUGGACAUCUCUCAGAAACCUGGGUGUGUCCCUCCGCAGUUCUUUUAACUAAAUGAUCAACAGUCCUGUUACUUCUAUCACUUUUGUGUUCCUCCUGUCCAUACUCUGUCACCUCUAUCAUGUCUCAUGUCUCUCCUAAACAAUUAAUUUUCCUACCUACAGUUCUGAUCCAUGCCAACCUAUUGCCUACUCUGAAGUUCAGGUCCCUCUGGCUGCAACAUGGAGUAUAUUGUAGGAGGGUACCAUUGCCUGCAGUGAGGCGUUAAGGACGCAGCAUGGAUGAGAGAUGAGGAAAGCUGAAAUGAAACAGAGGCAGGAGAAAUGGAGAGGAGGACAUGGCCUUGAGGAAUUUCCAGGACAUAAAUUUGGCAUCACUUCUUGGACCAUGAGAGGAAGAGGGAGCAGGAAGAAUCAAAGAUGAAUCCAAGAAUGAACAAAUCUAAUUUUUGAAAUAAUGCAAUGAAAAGUAGAACUGGUCUGUUUUCCUAGGAGAGGAUGGUGAAAUAGAGGUAGUUUGUGUGAUUUGCCCAGAGUCCCAUGAAGAAUUCACAGAAGAAUUGAGACUACAGUCAGUAUGGCCACAUUCCCAGAGAACUGCUUUUUCUGCCAUACCC
rnacentral:lncRNA from 10 species